CUACGGGGGGCUGCAGUGGGGAAUAUUGCACAAUGGAGGAAACUCUGAUGCAGCAACGCCGCGUGGAGGAUGACACUUUUCGGAGCGUAAACUCCUUUUAUAUAGGAAGAAGAUGACGGUACUAUAUGAAUAAGCGCCGGCUAACUCCGUGCCAGCAGCCGCGGUAAUACGGAGGGCGCAAGCGUUACUCGGAAUCACUGGGCGUAAAGAGCGUGUAGGCGGAUUAAAAAGUCAGAAGUGAAAUCCUAUAGCUUAACUAUAGAACUGCUUCUGAAACUCUUAAUCUAGAAUAUGGGAGAGGUAGAUGGAAUUUCUGGUGUAGGGGUAAAAUCCGUAGAGAUCAGAAGGAAUACCGAUUGCGAAGGCGACCUGCUAGAACAUUAUUGACGCUGAGACGCGAAAGCGUGGGGAGCAAACAGGAUUAGAUACCCUAGUAGUC
rnacentral:rRNA from 1 species